rnacentral:rRNA from 1 species
AGAGCGAACGCUGGCGGCAGGCCUAACACAUGCAAGUCGAGCGCCGUAGCAAUACGGAGCGGCAGACGGGAGAGUAACACGUGGGAACGUGCCCUUUGGUUCGGAACAACACAGGGAAACUUGUGCUAAUACCGGAUAAGCCCUUACGGGGAAAGAUUUAUCGCCAAAGGAUCGGCCCGCGUCUGAUUAGCUAGUUGGUGAGGUAACGGCUCACCAAGGCGACGAUCAGUAGCUGGUCUGAGAGGAUGAUCAGCCUCACUGGGACUGAGACACGGCCCAGACUCCUACGGGAGGCAGCAGUGGGGAAUAUUGGACAAUGGGCGCAAGCCUGAUCCAGCCAUGCCGCGUGGAUGAUGAAGGCCCUAGGGUUGUAAAGUCCUUUCGGCGGGGAAGAUAAUGACGGUACCGCAGAAGAAGCCCGGCUAACUUCGUGCCAGCAGCCGC